rnacentral:lncRNA from 1 species
AGAGAGCAAAAAAAAGUAGGAAAAGCAGAAGUACACCUACGCGUAUCAAAUCAACACGCCAUCAUGCCUCACACUAACCCAAACUGUAGGAAAUGUCAAAUCUGACCUAAUCCAAUCGGACUGUAAACAUAUCCCUCCUUUGACUGAAUACACGUCCCUGCCGUUCGACUACCAGCUCCCCCCACUAUAACUUGGUCUUGGAGAAGCAAUCCAACGGCAUAGCGACACCAACCGCGAAAGCACAAAGCCUGACUCCGGAGUGCACUCGUGGCCUACCCACCUGAGUAUCAGCGUAUCCUUCGAGCUCAAUCAGCUCCGACCAUAGCAAAGUCCAAGUAAUGAACUCAACAUGAUCCAAACAACCAAUCAGGUAAACGUCCCCCGCACAGGUCUACGCCAAAAUAAGGCUGAUACGGGCCACCGUCAAUCUCUGACGGCACCCAACAGUUCCGAAACAACCUAGAACGACCUGGUAAAAAUCCACAUCGCGAACCAGCACGAGUGUAAAUACAUUCUAGACUACCUGGAGUACUCGUCUCGAAGAAACUGCGACAGUACAAUUUUCUAACGGCUCCUAGAGCUAAAUCAGGCAGUUUAUACAGGUGACAGGUCCAAAUCGCAGGUUUUCUCCUAAUUCAAUUUUCAAGUCCAACAUGUAUAAUCUACUUAAUUUAUAAAACAUGCUCCAAAAUUCAGAUUUCACAAUCUACAAUUAAUCCAUGAAUUUGAGCUAACAUUAAUUACCGAAAUCAAAAUCUAUACAUGUCGACCAAUAAGAACUUAGGAGUAAAGCCGAUGUAACCCACCUCGCACGCAAAUCCCCGGCAGCGAAACACUCUCACAGCUGUGGCUCCACCUGCUGGGUCGAUCGUAGUACUUCGAUCUCAAGAAUCGCGCUAACUCCAAGCUCUACACCAACCAAUCACCGAUUCAGUCCAGAAUUUGCAGCAGUAGAGUAGGAAUGAGAUUCGACCAAGCUAACCUUCACCAAAUCUGGCAAGUGAGGGCUUCGUGGAUUCCUCUCGAAGUUCCGAAUCCAACGAACCAAGUCUCGUCGAAAUCCGAUGCUCCUACGUCGCGUACGAGCCAAAACACCGACAGUAGACGCAGAAAUCUUAGAACCAGCACGACAUCAAGGAUGGCGAAAAUCCGCACUCGCCCGGCCUCCUCGCAGCAACACGACGUCGAAAAUAAGCUCGAGCGGCUCCGCGGCACGCCGUCGACGACGAAUCCGAGCUUCGCGGCUACCUCUACGCGGCUCCUCCGCUUCGGCUCUCCACUCCACACGAAAGAGAGAAAGAAAAACUAAUUAGAGAGGUUUAGGUUGCUUCCCUUAAUUAAAUGCAUGGAUAACUAUGCAUGGGGGCACGUGGCACCCACCUAUAUAUAUAUGUAUAUACAUGGGGCAUGUGGCAUCCAUAUAUAUAUAUAUGGAUGUAUAUUUAAAGGAUACUACAUCCUCCCCCACUACAAUAAGUUUCGUCCUCGAAACUCAAACAUACCUUUGCUCAGGCAUCAAACAAAAAGGGAUAGGCCUCCCUCAUCACCGUCUCAGACUCCCAAGUCGCCUCCCGCUCAUCAUGAUUAUUCCACUGCACUUUCACAUACGGGAUGACCCGACUGCGCAAUUCUUUCGUCUCCCGAGCAAGAAUCCGCAACGGUCGCUCCUCAUAUCUCAGAUCCUCGCCAAUCUCAAGUGGAGUGAAGUCAAUCACAUGAGAGGGAUCGAAAACGUAUCUCCUCAAUGCUGAGACGUGAAAAACAUCAUGGAUGCCAGCAAGUCGCGGGGAUAGAGCUAUCCUGUAAGCCACCGGUCCGAUACGCUCCAAUACCUCGAAAGGGCCAACAAAACGUGGACUAAGCUUCCCACGUACUCCAAAUCGGCGUAUCCCUCUGGACGACGAGACUUUGAGAAAAACAUGAUCUCCAACCUGAAACUCCAAGUCUCAUCUCCUAGUAUCGGCGUAACUCCUCUGUCGGCUCUGUGCUGUCAAAAGGUGUCGUCGAACGACUCUCACCUUUUCCUCAGCCUCAAGUAGAAUCUCUGGUCCAAGUGUCUUCCGCUCUCCCACAUCACUCCAAAAUAAGGGGGAUCGACAUCUGCGUCCAUGCAACGCCUCAAACGGAGCCAUCUGGAUGCUCGCUUGAUAGCUGUUGUUGUACGCAAACUCAACCAGUCUCAAAUGUCGAUACCACCCUCCUCCAAAGUCCAGGACACAUGCCCUCAGCAUGUCCUCUAGAGUCUGAAUGGUCCGCUCUGACUAACCAUCUAUCUGUGGAUGAAACGCCGUGCUAAAAUGUAGCUGUGUACCCAAGGCGGUCUGAAGACUCCUCCAAAACUGGGAUACAAACCUCGGGUCUCUGUCUGAUACAAUCGACACUGGCACGCCGUGCAGCCUAACGAUCUCAUCCAAGUAUAGCUGCGCAAGUCUCUCCCUGGACCAGGUAGUCUGAACCGGUAGGAAGUGAGCAGACUUGGUCAGUCUGUCCACUAUCACCCAAAUCGCGUCGUAGCCACCCUGCGCUCUAGGCAAUCCAACGACGAAGUCCAUCGUGAUGUGCUACCACUUCCACUCGGGAACUGGCAGACUCUGAAGCUUGCCAGCAGGCACCUGAUGCUCGGCCUUCACCUGUUGGCAAGUCAAACACUGAGCCACAAAUCUGCCAAUGUCCCUCUUCAUUCCAGGCCACCAGAACCGUGCCUUAAGAUCCUUAUACAUCUUGGUUCCCCCAGGGUGAACCGUAUAAGGGGAACAAUGAGCCUCUCUCAGAAUAUCCGCUCGAAUCUCCGGAUCCACAGGCACACACAGUCGGUCCCUGUACCGUAGUACUCCCGAACUGUCCAAAGCAAAACCCUCAGCCUGCCCCCUGUCUAGCUGCUCUCUAAUCCUCAACAAGUACGGAUCUCCACUCUGUUUCUCUCGGAUCCUAUCCAACAGAGUGGGCUGUAAAACUAGAGACGUCAGCCUCGCCGUAGACCCAGGGGGUACUAUCUCGAGUCCCAGCCGCUGUAGCUCCUCGAGUAGGGGUCUCUGCUCAGUAAUCCUCAAACUCAGGCUCUGCACUGACUUCCUGCUCAACGCAUCUGCCACCACAUUCGCCCUGCCGGGAUGAUACUGAAUACUAAUGUCAUAGUCCUUCAGUAACUCCAACCACCGGCGCUGCCUCAGAUUCAGCUCCCUCUGUGUGAACAGAUACUUGAGACUUUGAUGAUCGGUGAAAACCUCGCAGUGCUCGCCGUACAAGUAAUGCCGCCAGAGCUUCAAAGCAAAAACCACCGCGGCAAGCUCCAAGUCAUGCGUAGGGUAAUUCUUCUCAUAAUCCUUUAACUGCCGUGAAGCAUAAGCAAUCACCCUACCAUGCUGCAUCAGCACGCAACCAAGUCCACUGUGCGAUGCAUCACUGUAGAUCACGAAUCCAUCCCCCAUCACCGGAAGGGCAAGGAUAGGAGCCGACGUCAACCUCAGUCUCAACUCGUCAAAGCUCCUCUGACAGUCGUCGCUCCAGACAAAACGAAUCCCCUUCCGCGUCAAGCGUGUGAGGGGUGUGGAAAGCUUCGCAAAGCCUUCCACAAACCGACGGUAAUAUCCUGCCAGUCCCAGGAAGCUCCGUACCUCAGUCACCGUCGUCGGUCUAGGCCAAUCUCGAAUCGCCUCAAUCUUCUUCGGGUCCACUGCUACGCCCUCGGCUGAAAUCACGUGGCCCAAGAAAGCGACCUCCCGUAACCAAAACUCGCACUUCUUUAACUUGGCAUACAACUUCUUCUCUCGCAGAAGCUGUAGCACAAUCCUCAAGUGCUCCUCAUGCUCAGCAUCGCUCCGGGAGUAAAUCAAGAUAUCAUUAAUAAAGACUACCACAAACCUAUCCAAGAACGGCUUGAACACUCUGUUCAUCAAAUCCAUGAAUGCGGCAGGGGCAUUCGUCAAUCCAAAAGGCAUCACCGUAAACUCAUAAUGCCCGUACCGAGUCCGAAAAGCCGUCUUGGAAAAUCCUCGGCCCUCACCCUCAGCUGGUGGUAACCUGACUGGAGAUCAAUCUUCGAGAAGACAUAAGAUCCCUGCAGCUGAUCAAACAAAUCAUCAAUGCGCGGCAAGGGAUACUUAUUCUUGAUGGUCACUUUAUUCAGCUCCCGGUAAUCCACACAUAACCUGAGCGAACCAUCCUUCUUCUUUACAAAUAGCACUGGCGCUCCCCAAGGCGACACACUGGGUCUCACAAACCCUUUAUCCAUCAAAUCCUGAAGCUAUGCCUUUAGCUCUCUCAGCUCUGCCGGUGCCAUCCGAUAAGGUACCGUUGAGAUUGGUGCAGUUCCAGGAACUACAUCAAUCACAAACUCAAUCUCCCUCUCCGGCGGCAACGUAGUCAACUCAGGGAAAAAUACAUCUGGAAACUCGCGGACUACUGGGAUGUCCUCAAGUCCCGGCGCCGCCGUUGGUACCUCCACAAUAGUCGCUAGGAAAGCGAUACACCCGCUACUCAGCAUCUGUCGAGCCCUCGCCGAAGAUAUCCAGGUGGCAAAUAGCGUGCUCCUGCAGCCUCUGAAAGUGAACUCCUCCUGACCUGGCUCGCGGAACGUCACCGUCCUCGCUCCACAGUCGAUCGUAGCGUAGUACCGCGCCAGCCAAUCCAUACCGAGCACGACGUCGAAGUCCUGCAGCUGCCCUAACACCAACAAGUCUGCAGGCAUGACACACGAGUCCAACUGCACCGGACACGACAAACAACACUCCGCAACCAGUAAAACAUGGUCCGGGAUCUGCACCUCUCGUGCCUGUGACAAUGCCCCUAACUCUAGCCCAUGCAACAAUGCAAAUGCUCGGCUAACAAAGGAAUGCGAUGUACCAGUGUCGAAAAGAGUGCGAACUCUAAUGCCAGAAAUCAAAGUGAUACCUGCCACCACUCGGUCGGCUGCUGUAGAGUCCUCCACCUGAGCUGCAUAGACUCUACCACUCGGAGCCUGCUGUCGAAGCUCACCCUGUCGCGGCAUGGACGACCUAUCCUCCUGGCGGUAACUCGGUGCUGCUCUGUAAGUCUGCUGAGGUGCUGGUGGAGCUGAAGCUGAUGAUGGUGCUGGAGAUGCUGCUCGAGGACAAGCUGCCCUCAUGUGUCCCGGCUGACCACAUCCGUAGCACCGGCCCUCCCUCUGCUCACACUGUCUGGGCCAGUGUGGUCCUCCGCAGAUCACACACUGCGGCGCCCUCUCAGGCUGUCCUCUCUUACGGGAGUCUCUGGAUCGCUGACGUCCUGAGAACCCACGACCCUGAGAACGCGAUCGUGGAGGUCUCGGCGGACGCCUGCUACUCGAUUGGCCUCCGUCGUCUGGAGCUGGGCGCUUCCUGUCCUGAGUCUGUCCCGGCUCCUGAGCCCUCUCUCGCAGUGACACCUCUCCUCUCUCCUCCCAUAGUGCUUGCUCAAUGGACGCGUCCAAAGUCCUCGACCUCUGCGCCCUAACGAACCUGAACAGGUCGGGUCUCAAACCCUGCUCGAACAAGUAGACCCUAUGUGCCUCGUCUCUGGCCACGAACGGAACACAGUUCAGGAGUCUAGUAAACUCCCGAACAUACUCCUGAACUGUCCGCUCGCCCUGCUGGAUCCUCUUCAAAUCCUCCUCAACCUUCUGUUUCAUGCUGUUCGAAAAAUACAUCCCAUACAGCAUUCCACAGAACUCAUCCCACCUCAGCUGCGCUGCCUCCAGUCUCUGGUCUCGCCUCACUCUCCGCCACCAGUCACGUGCAUCACCUGACAAACAGUGUACUCCCAAAGGUACCUGCUCCCCCUCUGGAACGUACAGAUCCUCGAAUAACCUCUUCAUAGCACUGACCCAACCCUCAACAACCCAGGCCUCAGUGCCUCUACCAUCGAAGAUCGGUGGAUCAAAUCGGCGGAAACGAGUUAACCUCUCCGUCCACCGCUCCUGCUCGGCCUCAGUCAAUGGUACAGGCCCCCUGGCAGGCGCAACUGGCGCUAUAGGAAUCUCCACCGGUGGGGGCAUAGCUGCGGCUGGAGCUGACGCUGGAGUAGUCGGGAGUGGAACAGUCUGCUCUGGUACACUCGGUGCUGAACUCGGUGACUGAGCUAUCCUCUCACACAACCUCUGCAACAACUCUCCCUGCUGCCUCGUCACCUCAGUCAGGGCAGCCAACUGUGCACUCAGAUCAGGGGGUGCGCUAGCCUCAGGUCGCGCACUCGGCUCUCCAACAGGGGGUGCACUAGCCUCCGGUCUGUCCCUCUGCUCCUGCCGAGCACUCUGCUCCAUCUGCUCAGAUCUCUCAGAAGGUCCCGCACGAUCCCGCAACGACGGUCGACCUCGGCGACGAUACAUAGCUGAAAAGAAACAAGUCGGGGUCAGAUACACGCAACACUCUAGACCCAAUCAACGAAACUCGGGAAGGCGGUCCCUGUUUUCCUCCAAAAUUAUGUCGUCUGCAGCCAACAUAAUUUUUCAGGCCAAAACAGGAACUCCUUCAGUCACUCACUCCACUCUAGGAGGAAUUAGAACAAAUAAUCAUUGACCUUCGCAAUUAAAUGACGCCUCUCGCGUCUUGCUUCCUAAGGUUUGCCAACUUAGGGUUUCCUAGGUCCCAACGACCUAUAGCAAAGCUCUGAUACCAACUUAAUCUGUCACGCCCCGGAUAUCUCGUUCCCCGGGCACGACGACAAAUCCGCCGUAUACAAAGAAAUAUCCCUUGUAUACGAAGCGUCAAAGUACCUGUAGAAUACGAUACUACAAACAGUAGCAUAGAGCUACUAAAAAAAACCUAAAUAACUGAGUUUCAUAUACAUAGCUAGAAUCCAAAAUACAAGGUUACUCGCACUGGCGAGUUAAACAACUAUGUACAUAAACUCCAAAACAACAACUACCUGCAGUAGUGGAAAGCCUCUAGCUCUGACUAUCGGGUAGGGCUCUAGCUCGCAACGCCCUUGCCUCGAUCCUGGUCGGCGGAAGAUGCAGCAGCCGGCACCUGUGGCUCUGCAAAACAGGAGUAACAACUGGGCGUGAGAACUACUGUAAAAACAGGUAGUCCUCAGUGGGUGCCGCCCAAAAUAACAUCGGUCUACCCACUAAGUCUACAGAAGGGAGCAAAAAUAGUAGGAAAAGCAGGAAGUACACUCUAUCGCUAUCAAUCACUACGCCAUCAUGCUCUACACUAACCAACUGUAGGAAAUGUCAAAUCUGACCCAAUCCAAUCGGGACUGUAAACAUACCCGUCCUUGGGACUGUGAAUACACCCGUCCCUGCCCCGUUGCGACUAUCCAGCUACCCCCACACUAACUGGUCUGUGGAGAGCAAGUCCAACUGGCAUGAGCGACACCAACGCGAAAGCACAAAGCCUGACUCCGGAGUGGCACUCGUGGGCGCUACCCAACCGAGUAUGCAGCGUAUCUCUGUCGAGCUCAAUCAGGCUCCAACUAGCCAAAGUCAAGUAAUCGACUCAAACUGAUCUAACAACCAACAGGUAACGUGCCCUCGGCACAGUCUGACGCCAAAAAGGCGAUACGGGUCGACGGCACCUAACAGUCCGAAAAAACCUGAACGACCCUGUAAAAAUCCACUUGGCGAACCAGCACGAGUGUAAAUACAUUCUAGACUACCUGGAGUACUCGUCUCGAAGAAACUGCGACAGUACAAUUUUCUAACGACUCCUAGAGCUAAAUUAGGCAGUUUAUACAGGUGACAGGUCCAUAUCGCAG